CCAAAUCCAGUACAACAGCAGCGAGGA
rnacentral:piRNA from 1 species